UCCCUUUCCCUCUCCCUCUCCCUCUCUUCUUCCAUCUUUCUAAGUUGUUCCUUUUCCAUCUCUCUUUCUCUCUUUGUUCUUUUAGCUUCUUUGUCUUCUGAUGAAAUAGUCUCAUAAGAAUUCUUCACUUUUAUUUCAGUGCUCCGAGUUGCAUUAACCUGCUGAGCUGUUCUGUGGGUGCUUACUUUUACUUCAAAUGUAGCUGGCUGAGCUCCUUCCAUUUUCCUUCCAGUAUCAAUUGAUUCUUUCACUGCUCUAGCUGACUUGAUAUUGACCUUGUUGAUUUCUGGAUUUAGGGAAGCUUGGGUUUGCUCAAUAUUUUUUCCUUUCUCGCUCUUUUCACAAGGAAAUUUCUUCCCUUGAUUUCCAAUACCCAGGUCCACUCGAAAGGUACUCCUAAUGUUCUUCUGUUCAGUGUCAGUUGAAUCUUCCAUUAGGAAUUGGCUCUUUUCAUCUUCUAAGUUGCCUAGGGCUAUGCCAGAUGCUACUUCCUUUUCACCAUUUCUCAGUUCAUUCAUUAUCUUGCUAGUUUCUUCAUUAGCAAACUCCUUAGUUAAUUCUAGUUUUUCGCUGUUCCCCUCAUUUUUGCCAGGUAAUUGAGUUGCUCCAAGGCUCUUAUCAUUACCCAACUCACAUGCCUGAUUCAAUACACUGUGAUCCUUCCCCAUCUUGUUUAGUGCCUUCUGUUUUCCACUCUCUCCAACAUCUAUAUGUUUUGCCUCUGUUUCUUCCCACUCACAUGUGUCUUGAGAUGAGGUCCUAUUCUCUUCUGGCUUAUGGUCCUCUUUUAGUGCCACUUCACUUACUUCUGCUUCCUGAGCCCUUCUUGAAGCCAUGCAUUUAUCUUGUUGCUCGCAUAACUCUUCUAGUCUCUUUCCAACUUCUCUUUCUAAAGCCUCUAGUUCAAUUUCUUCUCUUUCAAAAGUCUCCUUGCACCUCUUCUCACUUCCCUCUUUUUCACGAGGCUCACUCUUCUCAUUUUCUUCUUUUUCAUGGACCUCUCUUUGUCUCUUUUCAUUCUCUUCAUGUUCAACAGCUGCUUUUAGUCUCCUCUCAUUCUGUUCCUUCUCAGCCUCUUUUAGCUUUUUCUCAUUUUCUUCUCUUUCUCUCUUUGCAUUUUCUUCCCGUUCGAUGACCUCUCUUCGCCUUCUCUGUCUCUCUUCCACCUCAACAAUCUCUUUCAUCCUCCUUUCAUUCUCUUCCUUCUCCAGAGCCUCUUUUAAUCUCUUCUCAUUUUCUUCUCUUACACGAGCCUCUCUCUUUCUCUUCUCU
rnacentral:misc_RNA from 1 species